ACUUUAAUAAAUCUAAACUCAGUAACACAGUGGAGCAUAAAUAGAGUUUAUUAAAAAAAUAACCUGAGGUCAGUUCAUCAAGACGUCCCUGAAUGAUCUGAUCUGAGUAUAAAUCUCUCCUGUAUGUACAUCAGAUUUACUUCCAGUCUCCUUUCCUUUCCCCAAACCUCUGUGGGCAUUUCUCUACAGGUCACCAAUCUCCCUUUUAGCUCCACUAGAUCCUCCUCCAUCUGUUGACUCAGCUUCUCUAAUCUGGGACAAAAUCUUAGUCAUCAGCCUUAAUGGAACUCUCUCCUAUUCCUCUGGAAUUCCCCCUGGGCUGUUAUCAUAAGUUCAAGUGAAGAGUCAUGACUCACCAACUCACAGUUAAAAUAAGUGUCAUCGGGCAUCGAGGCAGGAUGCACCCUGGACAGAGUGCCAACCCAUCACAGGG